GACGUAGGGCGCGAGCGUUGUCCGGAUUUAUUGGGCGUAAAGAGCUUGUAGGCGGUUUGUCGCGUCUGCUGUGAAAUUUCGGGGCUCAACCCCGAACUUGCAGUGGGUACGGGCAGACUAGAGUGUGGUAGGGGAGACUGGAAUUCCCGGUGUAGCGGUGAAAUGCGCAGAUAUCAGGAGGAACACCGAUGGCGAAGGCAGGUCUCUGGGCCACUACUGACGCUGAGAAGCGAAAGCAUGGGGAGCGAACAGG
rnacentral:rRNA from 1 species